UACGGAGGUGGCAAGCGUUAUCCGGAAUUACUGGGUUUAAAGGGUGCGUAGGCGGCUUGAUAAGUCAGGGGUGAAAGCCCGCAGCUUAACUGCGGAACUGCCUUUGAUACUGUCGAGCUUGAAAGAGGUUGAGGUCAGCGGAACGUGACAUGUAGCGGUGAAAUGCAUAGAUAUGUCACAGAACACCGAUUGCGAAGGCAGCUGGCUGGACCUACUUUGACGCUGAGGCACGAAAGCGUGGGGAGCGAACAGG
rnacentral:rRNA from 1 species